rnacentral:sRNA from 1 species
UAGAGGAGGGCGAGCGGCGGGGCAGAGAGAGGCGCAGCGCAGCUCCUGAGGUUUUGGUUAUGAACAGGAUUCGGAUUCACGUCUUGCCAACCAAUCGGGGGAGGAUCACUCCAGUGCCCAGGUCUCAGGAACCUCUGUCUUGUGCAUUCACUCAUCGUCCAUGCUCUCAGCCUCGUCUGGAGGGGCAGGAGUUUUGCAUUAAGCAUAUCCUUGAAGACAAGAAUGCACCCUUCAAGCAGUGUAGUUAUAUAUCGACGAAGAAUGGAAAAAGAUGUCCCAAUGCUGCCCCAAAGCCAGAGAAGAAAGAUGGGUAUAUAUGUAUAGAUAUAUAUGUUGUUUGUCUUAAAGGGAGGGGGUAUGUGAUAUGAUGCGGGCUUCAGCAUAGCUGCCGCGUUUGAGAUCACGUUCUUGUAAAUUUGGGGUUAUGGUUGUAUCCUUGGAAAACUGAAAAAACGGUGAAGACUGGAA